UAAAGGGCUCACAGCUGUGAGUACCGCCACCAGGAUUCGAUUCUUGGCCACAGCGGAUUUAACCUGGCUUCCGUUUGGCUUUCAGGACCACACCAGAUCCGUUUGGACGCGGUGCUAGUUAGACCCCAAGGUUCCAGACACCUGGGUUACCAAAAAAAAAAAAAAAAAAAAAAAUUAGAAUAUUUUUCAGAGAAAAUUAGAAACUCGACAAAAUAAAUAGGAGACUUAGAAUAAACACAGAAUAAUUAAUUGAUUGAUUGACGUAUAGACUUAGUCCGAAGACUGAAAUACAAAGGUUAGCUUGCAUGACUAGUAGGUAAUAAGAUUUACGUGGUAUCUACGGCAUAGGCCGAGAUAAAAAGUUCCAACAUAGUUUACACG
rnacentral:lncRNA from 1 species